rnacentral:lncRNA from 1 species
UAUCUAAUAUUAUACAUAAUAACAUUUUGGGUAGGAGCUUGGGAACAGUUCCCGCUUCCAAGUUUUACCGACCUCCAGCUGCCCGUCAAUCCCACCUCUACACAAACCACCGCACAGACAUAUCAUCCACCAAAUUAUACCACCAACAACCACCACGCAGCCCCAAAUCCAGUUUCAGCGACAUCCAAAUCCACCUACUACCAUCGCUCACCACCGCUCCGCUCGGAAUCAUCGUCAUCUGCUACCAUCGAUCAAUACCGCUCUACCCCAAAUCGAAAGGUUGCCGCUCUAUCUACUCCGUCAACCGACGACUUUCAUCGGACGAUUAGGGCUCCAACAGGUGAUGAUUCAAGUUUCCGGAGGAGCUGCCCAAGUCCGUGCUCUCAAGAUGGAUAAUGGAUAGCGGUGCUUCGCGGCAUAU